rnacentral:lncRNA from 13 species
AUGCACUCGUGGGACAGCUUGAGCAGAAGCCUGUGGCCGGGCAGUGCCAGGGCUGUGGGGGGGUGUGAUGGGGCUGGGGGAGGCUCAGCCUCAGUCGCUCCUCUCGCCCCCAGGCCAGCGGUUCCACUGCGGAGGGAGGAAGAAGAGGAGGUGGGUAUUGCGCUGUUUUCAGGCAGCCUCGUCUCUCCUGCCUGUUCCAGUCCUGCCAGCUGGCAGGGCCGCGGUCCAGCCCAUGUUCCCCUCUCUCUCAGCCACGUUGCCCAGUGUAACAGUUCUCCCCUUGCUUUUUGCUCCACAGACAAGGGAACGAGGAAGAGCUGUAGGUGCAGAGCUGCAGUGCCGCCGUGGAAGCAGAGCUCCAGCCGAAGUCCAGGAGACCUGGCCAGUGGCCACCCCUCACCCCGCUCCAGUGGAUCCAUUACCCCGCAAGGCCAGACCGCAAAUUACCCUCGUGCUUCCCCCUCUCUUAGACCCAGCAAGAGUUUCUUGGCUAAUAAAGUUCAAGCUCUGAGAGGUUAAACUCUGUGCCUGAGGCGUUUGAAUCGCCCACUUUCCUGGGCCAGCGCCAAUCACUUUUCUGCCCUGCAGGCGUCUUCCACCACAGACCCAGCAAAGGUCCCCGCUGGCUCCUCCGCAGCCCGAGGCACGGAGCAGCCAGCCGCCUCCGCCCUGGGUUUGCUCCUGGGUUUUCUCCCAGCUGCAGGUCCUGGAUCCUGCGGCACUUGCCUUUCCCUUAGGAUGCCGAGGCAGGGGCUGGCAGCACUGUGGGGCUGUUUGUGUGCUCGUGUCUGGCUAGGAUGGGGUUAAUUCUGUCCCUCGCAGCCCUCGCGGUGCUGGGCUUUGUGUUGGGAGCUGGGAAGGUGUUGGUAACACUCCAGUUCUGGCUCCUGCCCCUCCUGCUGCAGGGGACACGGCCAGGACAGCCCCCAACUGACCAAAGGGACAUUCCAGACCAGGUGACACCGGCUCAGGUACAGAAGAAAAGGGAAAGGAGGAGAAAGGGGGGUGUUCGUACGUCACAACAUUUGCCUUGCAGAGCAAUCCUGACUUCCCGGAGAGGGGCUGGACAUCGCCUGUGGAUGGGAAGUGGAGAAUUUCAGUCUUCUGGGUUUCUUUUUUUUCCCUUUUCUUGUGUUCACGCUCCCUCUGCUUUCACUUUAUAAACUGCCUUUAUCUUGACCCACGCGUUUGGGUGAUUUUCCCUCUUUUUAAUCCCUCCCUGCCCUGCUGGGGAGGGGAGCGGUGGAGCAGCUCAGUGAGCAACUGGUGUCCAGCCAAGGUCAACCCAGCACAGCACCACGGAGCGUGAUUCAGGCGUCCUUUUCGGUCGGGAACAGGGCUGGGAUGAAGCACAGAGCUCUGUGUGAGCUCUCGGUCUCUCUCAGCUACGGAUUCAGCCAGAAACGCCUCUUUCAAAGAGAAAAGGAAAAAAAAAAGAGCCAAACUCUCCCGCAAUUGGGCGGUGUGUGAGGAGGGAGGUUCGCUCUGUGUGCGGAGAGCCGGCCCGACACAGACACCUAGUGACGGGAGGGCAGGGCUGCCUGUCCCCCACCGGGCUGCCUGUCCCCUACCGCUGCCCCCCAGAACCUUCACCCCUUCUCCUGCAGGCCUGGGGCAAAGGGGCCCUCGGGGCACCCCAAACAAGCAGAGGAGGCACUCAGGGAAGGAUGUUCGCUCUCACACUGUUAAGUCCAGGGGGUGUUUGACCAGGGAAUGGUUUGGGUGAGAAACUCCAACUCAGGGGGUUUCCUCCCCUCGCCUGAAUCCACUGUGGUUGUUCAGGUGUGCGAGGGGCUGCCUUCAGGGACCCCGACCAUCCCAGCACAACGGGGAUGGAGAAACUAACUCCCUGGGUCUGUUUGGGCUUCGAUCGAGGUCAGACAUUGACAGAAAAAUAGGAUUAACUGGGGGAAGGUUAUUAGGCAAAAUCCGUGCAAUUUGUCUAAUCUGAGGUGCUUAUUUAACACAAUAAGGAGAUUAUUUUGGAAUAUAAUUUUGACUUGACA